CCUCUUUAAAUUUUUAUUUUGUCAUCAACAACCACAUAUACUGGACUGCAGCUACAUCAGCCACUGGGCCAGAGAGAGAAGCAAAGUGGACCUCGAUCCUAAACC